rnacentral:misc_RNA from 1 species
GAAGUUGAUUAUGACAUUCGAAAAAUUACAAAAACAAAAUUGACCAUAUUACUAUAUUUAAUCAAUGAAUGAUUCUAAAUCCCAUUAUUCAAAAAUCAAAACUAGCUUCCCAUCAUGAGUUUCAGCAUCUGCCUUAUCCAUUAAUCAUAUAAUGCAUACAUGCUACUAAAGUUUUAUAAUGCAAAAUGAUCUUAUCUUGAC